rnacentral:rRNA from 1 species
GAUGAACGCUGGCGGCGUGCCUAAUACAUGCAAGUCGAGCGAACAGACGAGGAGCUUGCUCCUCUGACGUUAGCGGCGGACGGGUGAGUAACACGUGGAUAACCUACCUAUAAGACUGGGAUAACUUCGGGAAACCGGAGCUAAUACCGGAUAAUAUAUUGAACCGCAUGGUUCAAUAGUGAAAGACGGUUUUGCUGUCACUUAUAGAUGGAUCCGCGCCGCAUUAGCUAGUUGGUAAGGUAACGGCUUACCAAGGCAACGAUGCGUAGCCGACCUGAGAGGGUGAUCGGCCACACUGGAACUGAGACACGGUCCAGACUCCUACGGGAGGCAGCAGUAGGGAAUCUUCCGCAAAGGGCGAAAGCUUGACGGGGCAACGCCGCGUGAGUGAUGAAGGUCUUCGGAUCGUAAAACUCUGUUAUUAGGGAAGAACAAAUGUGUAAGUAACUAUGCACGUCUUGACGGUACCUAAUCAGAAAGCCACGGCUAACUACGUG